rnacentral:rRNA from 1 species
UCUGGUUGAUCCUGCCUGAACUGAUGUGUUCAUUUCAAAGAUUAAGCCAUGCAUGUAUAAGUAUAAUCUGCCAGUCAGAGAAACUGCGUACGGCUCAUUACACCAGCCUUAAUUUACUUGACCUUGACACCCUACUUGGAUAACUGUGGUAAUUCUAGAGCUAAUACAUGCACCAAAGCUCCAAUCUCCCCAGAGCGGAGCGCAUUUGUUCGCCACAAAACCAAGCGCCUCAGGGCGUUCAGUGUUGACUCAGAACAACUAAGCUGAUCGCACGGUCUUGCACCGGCGACGUGUCUUUCAAGUGUCUGCCUUAUCAACUUUCGAUGGUAGUGUAUCUGACUACCAUGGUGAUGACGGGUAACGGAGGAUAAGGGUUCGACUCCGGAGAAGGGGCCUGAGAAAUGGCCACUACGUCUAAGGAUGGCAGCAGGCGCGCAAAUUACCCACUCUCGACGCGAGGAGGUAGUGACGAGAAAUAACGAGACCGUUCUCAUCUGAGGCCGGUCAUCGGAAUGGGUACAAUUUAAACCCUUUAACGAGUAUCUAUGAGAGGGCAAGUCUGGUGCCAGCAGCCGCGGUAAUUCCAGCUCUCAAAAUGCAUAGAAUUAUUGCUGCGGUUAAAAAGCUCGUAGUUGGAUCUGUGCUGAGCGANGUCUUCAUUAAUCAAGAACGAAAGUCAGAGGUUCGAAGGCGAUCAGAUACCGCCCUAGUUCUGACCGUAAACGAUGCCAACUAGCGAUCCGCCGGCGGAUUCAUUCGCCCUGGUGGGGAGCUUCCCGGAAACGAAAGUCUUCCGGUUCCGGGGGAAGUAUGGUUGCAAAGCUGAAACUUAAAGGAAUUGACGGAAGGGCACCACCAGGAGUGGAGCCUGCGGCUUAAUUUGACUCAACACGGGGAAACUCACCCGGCCCGGACACCGUAAGGAUUGACAGAUUGAUAGCUUUUUCAUGAUUCGGUGGAUGGUGGUGCAUGGCCGUUCUUAGUUCGUGGAGCGAUUUGUCUGGUUUAUUCCGAUAACGAGCGAGACUCUGGCCUACUAAAUAGUUGGCACAUUGCCACUGUGUGCACAACUUCUUAGAGGGAUUUUCGGUGUUCAGCCGCACGAAAUUGAGCAAUAACAGGUCUGUGAUGCCCUUAGAUGUCCGGGGCUGCACGCGCGCUACACUGGCAAAAUCAGCGUGCUUGUCCUCCCCCGAAAGGGGUUGGUAAACCGAUGAAAAUUUGCCGUGAUUGGGAUCGGACAUUGCAAUUAUUGUCCGUGAACGAGGAAUCCCUUGUAAGGGCGAGUCAUCAACUCGUCCUGAAUACGUCCCUGCCCUUUGUACACACCGCCCGUCGCUGCCCGGGACUGAGCCAUUUCGAGAAAACCGGGGAUUGUUGGCCUGACGGCUCUCGGGUCGUCUAGCCGAUGAGAACCGGCUUAAUCGCACUGGUUUGAACCGGGCAAAAGUCGUAACAAGGUAGCUGUAGGUGAACCUGCUGCUG